rnacentral:rRNA from 1 species
AUUGAACGCUGGCGGCAGGCCUAACACAUGCAAGUCGAACGGUAACAGGAAGAAGCUUGCUUCUUUGCUGACGAGUGGCGGACGGGUGAGUAAUGUCUGGGAAACUGCCUGAUGGAGGGGGAUAACUACUGGAAACGGUAGCUAAUACCGCAUAACGUCGCAAGACCAAAGAGGGGGACCUUCGGGCCUCUUGCCAUCGGAUGUGCCCAGAUGGGAUUAGCUAGUAGGUGGGGUAACGGCUCACCUAGGCGACGAUCCCUAGCUGGUCUGAGAGGAUGACCAGUCACACUGGAACUGAGACACGGUCCAGACUCCUUCGGGAGGCAGCAGUGGGGAAUAUUGCACAAUGGGCGCAAGCCUGAUGCAGCCAUGCCGCGUGUAUGAAGAAGGCCUUCGGGUUGUAAAGUACUUUCAGCGGGGAGCAAGGGAGUAAAGUUAAUACCUUUGCUCAUUGACGUUACCCGCAGAAGAAGCACCGGCUAACUCCGUG